AUGUAAGUUACUCCAGACCAUAUCCCUCGAACAAGAAGAAUGCUUAUAAACACCAUGCUUCCAAAUGUGCAAACCACCUCAAGAAGCCCCUUGAGGAUCCACAAGAAGGUGAGAACCAGCACACCAUUGACCGAGAACUUCACCUGCACGCCGGGGACGGAGGGCGGCAGCACGGACCUGGCGGCGCGGCGCGCGCGGCGGGAGGCCUUCCUGAACACCGAGUGGAGGAACCGGGCCAGGAGGUCCAGGCUGCGGUCGUCGUCGUCUUCGUCCGCAUCGUCCUCCUCGUCUCCAUCUUCCUCCCUCCCGUCCCGGUAG
rnacentral:rRNA from 1 species